rnacentral:rRNA from 1 species
GACGAACGCUGGCGGCGUGCCUAACACAUGCAAGUCGAACGGAAAGGCCAUGAUUUUGUGGGGUGCUCGAGUGGCGAACGGGUGAGUAACACGUGAGUAAACUGUCCUUGACUGUGGGAUAACUUCAGGAAACUGGGGAUCAUACCGGGUAGAAGAUCCUGCUGCAUGGGGGGGGUUGGAAAGAGUCGGCGGUUGGGGCUGGACUAGAGGCUUAUCAGCUUGUUGGUGGGGUAGUGGCUUACCAAGGCUAUGACGGGUAGCCGGCCUGAGAGGUUGACCGGCCACAUUGGGCCUGAGGUACGCCCCAGUCGCCUACGGUAGGCAGCAGUGGGGAACAUUGCACAAUGGGCGGAAGCCUGAUGCAGCAACGCCGCGUGCGUGAUGACGUCCUUCGGGUUGUAAACCGCUUUCGCCUGUGCCGAAGCGUGAGUGACGGUAAUGGGUAAAGAAGCACCGGCUAACUACGUG